AAAAAACUUACUAUUAUAUUUUAUAUCACAAUUUGUAUAAGCAUAAAAGCACUUAUACAGCCAUUCUGCUCGAAAUGGUACAGCGGUUUUUUAACUGGUGUUAUGAAUUGUAGCAACGCGAGAGUCGGCGUUAUAACAGGCUUGGCGGUACUCUGGUGCGGGUACUUUGUUAACGCUAAAAGUAGAAAGUAAGCUACUGCGUGACUUCUAGGGCGGAGUUUAGAAGAGUAGGCGAAUUAGACUGCGACAAAGUAAGU
rnacentral:ncRNA from 1 species